GAUGAAGAACGUAGUGAAAUGCGAUAAGUAAUGUGAAUUGCAGAAUUCAGUGAAUCAUCGAAUCUUUGAACGCACAUUGCGCCCGCCAGUAUUCUGGCGGGCAUGCCUGUUCGAGCGUCAUUACAACCCUCAGGCCCCCGGGCCUGGCGUUGGGGAUCGGCGGAGCCCCCCGUGGGCACACGCCGUCCCCCAAAUACAGUGGCGGUCCCGCCGCAGCUUCCAUCGCGUAGUAGCUAACACCUCGCGACUGGAGAGCGGCGCGGCCACGCCGUAAAACACCCAACUCUUCUGAAGUUGACCUCGAAUCAGGUAGGAAUACCCGCUGAACUUAAGCAUAUCAAUAGCGGAGGA
rnacentral:misc_RNA from 1 species